UGGGGAAUUUUGCGCAAUGGACGAAAGUCUGACGCAGCAACGCCGCGUGGGUGAUGAAGGUCUUCGGAUUGUAAAACCCUGUCGUCGGGGACGAAGGUAGGCUUGUUAAUAGCGAGUUUGCUUGACGGUACCCGGAGAGGAAGCCCCGGCUAACUCUGUGCCAGCAGCCGCGGUAAUACAGAGGGGGCAAGCGUUAUUCGGAAUUAUUGGGCGUAAAGGGCGCGUAGGCGGUGAUUCAAGUCGGAUGUGUAAUCCCCGAGCUCAACUUGGGAACUGCAUCCGAGACUGUGUCGCUAGAGUGCUGGAGAGGGUGGUGGAAUUCCUCGUGUAGCGGUGAAAUGCGUAGAGAUGAGGAGGAACACCAGUGGCGAAGGCGGCCACCUGGACAGUAACUGACGCUGAGGCGCGAAAGUGUGGGGAGCAAACAGG
rnacentral:rRNA from 1 species